rnacentral:rRNA from 1 species
GACGAACGCUGGCGGCGUGCCUAAUACAUGCAAGUCGAACGCAGUGGGGACGGGUGAGUAACACGUGGGUAACCUCCCAUCAGAGGGGAGAACCCUUGGAAACAGGUGCUAAACCGAUACUGAUGGAUGGACUCGCGGUGCAUUAGCUAGUGGGUGAGGUAACGGCUCACCAAGGCCACGAUGCAUAGCCGACCUGAGAGGGUGAGCGGCCACACGGGAACUGAGACACGGCCCAGACUCCUACGGGAGGCAGCAGUAGGGAAUCUUGGGCAAUGGACGAAAGGCUGACCGAGCAACGCCGCGUGAGUGAAGAAGGUGUUCGGAUCGUAAAGCUCUUUUGGUAGAGAAGCGGUAUCUAACCAGAAAGCCACGGCUAACUACGUGCCAGCCGCCGCGGUAAUUC